rnacentral:rRNA from 1 species
GACGAACGCUGGCGGCGUGCCUAACACAUGCAAGUCGAGCGGGGUUGAAGCGAGGGGUAACUCGAACUUCUACCUAGCGGCGGACGGGUGAGUAACGCGUGGGCAACCUGCCUCAAGGAUCGGGAUAACAGCUCGAAAGGGCUGCUAAUACCGGAUAUGCCUAUGGCCUCGCAUGGGGCUGUGGGCAAAGGGGAAACCCGCCUUGAGAUGGGCCCGCGUCCCAUCAGCUAGUUGGUGAGGUGAAGGCUCACCAAGGCGACGACGGGUAGCCGGCCUGAGAGGGUGACCGGCCACACUGGGACUGAGACACGGCCCAGACUCCUACGGGGGGCAGCAGUGGGGGAUCUUGCACAAUGGGCGAAAGCCUGAUGCAGCGACGCCGCGUGAGCGAAGAAGGCCUUCGGUUGUAAAGCUCUGUCUGGAGGGACGAAGAAAGUGACGGUACCGUCCGGAGGAAGCCACGGCUAACUACGUG